rnacentral:lncRNA from 1 species
AUGUUUCUUGAUCUAGGUGGAAGUUCCAUGGGUGUGUUCACUUUGGGAUCAUUCAUCAAAAUGAACACUUUGCAUACUUUACUGUGUAUGUAUUAUAGUAAAAAAAUUUUAAGUUAUUUAAAAAAUUUUAAGUUGCCAGAUGCUUCUUCUCCUGGGGAACACAAAAAAGUCUGUGGAGCACGUCUUUUGGGGUCUCUGGAGUCCCCCUUGUAUGUAGACAUAUGGCUGGUAGCCACCACUUGCUCCAUGGGGAAUGAAGGAAGGAUGUGGUUGGCCUCAGGGCAGAUAGAAAUUAAGGUAAUCCCUACCACUCAACUUGCCAUCUUAACCAGUGGGUCAGGAUAUCCCAACCGAGAUCUGAGUUCUUCCCGCCAGAGUGAACCUGAAGAUCUGACUGUAGACUCUGGAUCCGGGUUCCGUCCUAAAGGGGAUGAAGGCUUAACAACGAUCAAUGUGAAUACUGAAAAGGCAAGCAGGUCUUGACAGUUACCCUAACAUGGGAAAUGGUCAUCAAAUAUGAUUACAUAAAGCAGGUCAUAAAACAAUAUAUGUAAUAUGAUCUCAAAAAAUUUUUUUUAAAUAUUUUAUUUAUUUGUUCAUGAGAGACACACAGAGAGAGGCAGAGACAUAAGCAGAGGGAGAAGCAGGCUCCCUGCAGAGCCUGAUGCAGGACUCGAUCCUGAGACCCUGGAAUCAUACCCUGAGCCGAAUGCAGACACUCAACCACUGAGCCAUCCAGGCAUCCCUCAAUUUUUUUUUAAAGAGGGGGGGAAAAACUGGAGAGAGUGGUUUUUGUCUAUGUUACAGAGUAAUUUAUUUUAUUAGCCUAUAUUCUCAAUUUCCUAUAACUGACAUAUUUUGUAAUCUGCAAUAAAAAGCUGUAGAAUAUAUAAGGGAGAGAUUGCUGGUAUCCUGUCUCUAUUCCUCUUUCAUACCCUGUGACCCCUACUUCCAGGACCCAAGCGGGCAAAACUCAUCUCCUCGAGGACUCCUGGGGUGGGGAGGGGGGCGUCCCACACACUAAACUAUAGGAAAUACCAGCAGUGAAGAACCUUAUUUUGUCCAGUCCUGUGGCAUACAGUAGGAGCUUAAUCCAUACCGGUGACCAUCAUUUCCUCUUACCUGGAAUUGCCUGCAAAACAUCCCUUGAGUAGAAGCCCAAGCGUCAGGCUCAGCGCCUUGAAGCGCACCGGAGCCCGGGAGUGGGCACUGCUGUCCGCUGCCCCGAGGGCCCUGCUCCCUCGGAAGCCUGGAGCCACCUGCCCCACACACUGGCCCUUCAGCUCACUGCCUCCCCCACCAGAGGCAAAUGAGCAAAUUGCAUGUGCCCCACAGAAAGCAAGCCACCUCACAAAGGUGUCGCAAGGACAGAGUCACACAGGGACAGGGAUCAGGAUCGGACAGACGGACGGACAGAAAUUCUCUCAAAGGUCACAGAGCGCUGGCCCAGCACCCUCACCGCCACCCGGGGCUCUUCACCCUGGUCUUGCCUAUUGUGUCACCCUCACUAGAUGGCAAGCUCCUGGGAGAGCAGCCACGUGAGGCUUUUGUCCCCCUCCCACCCACCCACCACCGGCCCAGGGCCUGGCAUUCAGCAGGCACGCAGGGGACCUGCUGACUGAAUGUGCAGACAAAUGAAUAGUUGAGAGAAACAUUGGCAGCAGAGACGCAGUGAGUGGGUAAGCCAUGUGCGGGAACAGACAGAUGGAAGAGACCGCGAGCCACAGAAGUGGAGGGGCGCGGAGAGGAUGAGUGAAUGAAUGACAAGUUGGGGGGGGGGGAGUGUUGAGAAAAAGAAGCAAAAAAGCUAAAUAAACCCAGUGAGACCCAAAUGAAAGUUAAAGACAGAGGCAGGAAAAUUAAAGCAGAGAAAGGAGAGGAGCGAGGCUUCCCUUA